AGGGUAAUUAUUGUUAAAUGUCAGGUUAACUCUGAAGGCCUGGGCUCAUCCAACUGAGAGCAGAUUAGCCCAGAUGGAGACAUUUUCAACACGGAGCUGUCUGGCCAAUCAGAGACAGCUGGGAUUAGCCAAAUACCUUCUCUCAUCUGCUUGCUCACAGAAAGGCCCCUAAGCUACCUGUCUCCUGAAGCAGAAGCCGCCAGAGCAGCCACCCACAGCAGUAAGAACAUCAUUAAUUACAUUGCUUCAAGAUCUUGAACUGAUUGGACCACAGAUUGUCAUGUUUAUUAUAUUUAUAUUAAUGUUCAAGGCAAUUACUAGGCUUUGAACCAAGGUAAGAAAAAUUCAAGUUUAAAUUGCAAAUUCUCUGCUGUUUAAAAGGCCCACACCUUUUAAAGGAAGAAGAGGUCUGAGGUCAAGGAACAUGUCCACCGUAUCACACCCGGAACUCCUGUUUCUCUUCUUAGCAUGCCUUUAAACGCUGCAGCACCUGGAAUUGGAAGAAGGAGACAAAUGCAAAGACAGAGAGCCGCUGAACACUCAUGGAAGUCUGAGUUGCACUGCUGUUCUCAGUGUGCCAGAAUCUGCAGCUACUUCUCAACUGGCUUCAGGAGAAAGCUGGACCAAGAGGGGAUUCAGCGCAGUCUAGAGUCUAGAACUCGAAUAGAUUCUUGGUGUUCUAAAAUCCACAUAAACAUUUGUUCACGGACACCUCGCCUGGCCACCAGUGUCUCCGUCUUCAUCUUCCCAGGGAAGCAGAGGUUCUGAAGGUCUCCACACACAUGGACUCCAGGGACAGAAAACUGGAGGAAAAUGAGUAGGUAAAAUUCUGAGAGGAGUUACAAAGCCAACCCACAUAGGGAUGGUUAUCCAGACUUGACUGUGGUGAAGAGUUCUGGUCAGGAGAUCCCAGUGGUGCCCACCUCUCCUUACUCAUUUCUAGGGGGACCUGACAAUUGGACUUCAUUGUAAAAACACGCAUGGAACACCUGCUCCCUUAUGGGCACUGCAAGGAGAAGGACAAAGGAUACAUUGUUCCUUAACAGUACUGCGUGGAAAAUGGGGAGGUGGGGAGAGGGAGAGAGAGGGAGAAAGGAAGACAGGGAGGGAGAGAAGAGAGAGCGA
ensembl:lincRNA